CCUACGGGUGGCAGCAGUGAGGAAUAUUGGUCAAUGGGCGGAAGCCUGAACCAGCCAAGUAGCGUGCAGGAUGACGGCCCUACGGGUUGUAAACCACUUUUGUAGAGAACGAAAAGACACCUUUUAAUAAAGGGUGUUGCUGACGGUACUCUAAGAAUAAGCACCGGCUAACUACGUGCCAGCAGCCGCGGUAAUACGUAGGGUGCGAGCGUUAAUCGGAAUUACUGGGCGUAAAGGGUGCGCAGGCGGUUGAGUAAGACAGAUGUGAAAUCCCCGAGCUUAACUCGGGAAUGGCAUAUGUGACUGCUCGACUAGAGUGUGUCAGAGGGAGGUGGAAUUCCACGUGUAGCAGUGAAAUGCGUAGAUAUGUGGAAGAACACCGAUGGCGAAGGCAGCCUCCUGGGACAUAACUGACGCUCAGGCACGAAAGCGUGGGGAGCAAACAGGAUUAGAUACCCCAGUAGUC
rnacentral:rRNA from 1 species